rnacentral:rRNA from 1 species
GACGAACGCUGGCGGCGGGCUUAACACAUGCAAGUCGAACGGAAAGGCCCUGCUUUUGUGGGGUGCUCGAGUGGCGAACGGGGGAGUAACACGUGAGUAACCUGCCCUUGACUUUGGGAUAACUUCAGGAAACUGGGGCUAAUACCGGAUAGGAGCUCCUGCUGCGUGGUGGGGGUUGGAAAGUUUCGGCGGUUGGGGAUGGACUCGCGGCUUAUCAGCUUGUUGGUGGGGUAGUGGCUUACCAAGGCUUAGACGGGUAGCCGGCACGGGAGGGUGAACGGCCACAUUGGUACUAAGGGAGGGACCAGUGUCGAAUGGGGGGCAGUAGGGGGAAGCCUGGUCCAGUGGGCGGGAGUCGGAGGCAGCAGCCUCGGGGUCGGAAUGCCGGCUUGCGGGUUGAGAACCGCUUUAGCUUGAGACGAAGCGGGAGUGACGGUAAUGGAUAAAGAAGCACCGGCUAACUACGUG